CUUCGUAAAUUAAACCAGAAAUACUGGAAGGUAUUGUAGAAAGCGCACCAAGAACAAAAUGCAAAUGGGUGAACGGUGGGGCUAGGGGAUUUCCGAAGUAACCCACUGAAGGCCGCCCCUACCGUACACACACAUACACACACACACACACACUCACAAAUGAUGGAGCUGGAGAAACUGCAGUCGGGCGACCCGUGCCGAGAGUGCCUGGGCCUGGGCCUCGACCACAGGCUACGCUACUUUUACAUCAGUCUCGAGGAGCAGCUGCUAAAGUGCGAGUCCCGCAGCUGCCUUUGGCCGCACAACGAUGAGGUUUCCUCUGACGAGGAAUUUGACUUUGGAGAAACAGUUCCCAUUGAAGCCCCACAAAAUGAAAACACUGCUGCUCCAGACGAGGACGAUGAGUUCAUCCUGCAGCUGCUGCAGGACCUGGGGUCAGGCGUAGAGCCAGCAGCAGUGGAGACCCAGCCGGCGUCUGAUUUGAAUCUCAUCUACAUGCCGGAUCUUCUUUCUGGUCCUCUCACUGAACCAGAGGCUUGUACAGGGCUAGAUUUUAGCUGGCUGGAGCCGAGCAUUCCCGAUAAGAGUGAAUUCCCGAAUCGCGUGAUAACCAAAGAAGAAAUUCCGCAGCUGCCUAAAACGCUGCAGACUGCGCCUAUGCUUAGUUCAAAGACUGAUACCUUCAACACUGCGCCGAUACUUAGUCCCAGAGCUAGGCCAAGGAGCGAUCCCUUCUGCACUCCGCUGCCAAAGGCAUCCACUCUGCUCCGGAAAGAAGCAAACCUUAAUCCAGUGCCCUUGAAGGCGGCCUCAACACAAGCGAGAAUUCCCGAGAAAGAUAUUCUCAGCAAGGACAACCCGUUCCUGGACGCCAUAAAGCGGCAUGAUGUUGCGCCAACCCGCAGCUCAAAGACGACGCGCAGACGCCCAGUAGUCAGAACUGGGGCGGGCACGGCUUUGCGGACGCAGGCGGUGAUGCAGCUGCUCAAGCACCGGCAGGAGCAGGCGGUGGGAGCCGACUCGGAAGCGAAGCGCCCACCACAGCUAUGAAAAUUUGCAAUUCUUUUUGUUUGAAUAAAUUUGCGAAUGGAAUUAUGCAUAUGAGAAUACGAGAAACGAAAUCAAGUUCGUUUAUUUAUAAACAAUUUCGCUUUGUCUUUAUUUUGUGUUGCGAUUUGAAGAUUACGCCUGUGUGCGGCACGCGCCUAGCGCAUGUUCGAGCGUGCCAGAACCAGAGCAACGAUGCCGAAGAGAUGUGAACUUUGGCGGCAACGAGGACAGGCUGAGUGCGUCACUGAGAGUGGCUCGGGAUUAUAGGCCGCAUCGGAGGCUUAUCCGUGGAAAUUUUGACGUCACGAGAGGGACAAAGAUUGCAGCACAACGGCGUCGUUAGGCCAGUGGCGCCGCCGCUAUCUGCGCAGGCCUCGACGAACUGCAGCCAUGCGUACACCACGAGCUCGUC